rnacentral:rRNA from 1 species
AAGGAUCAUUACUGAGUGCGGGCCCUCUGGGUCCAACCUCCCACCCGUGUAUACCGUACCCUGUUGCUUCGGCGGGCCCGCCGUUCUGGCCGCCGGGGGGCAUCCGCCCCCGGGCCCGCGCCCGCCGAAGACACCCUGAACGCUGUCUGAAGAUUGCAGUCUGAGCGAUAAGCACAAAUUAGUUAAAACUUUCAACAACGGAUCUCUUGGUUCCGGCAUCGAUGAAGAACGCAGCGAAAUGCGAUAAGUAAUGUGAAUUGCAGAAUUCAGUGAAUCAUCGAGUCUUUGAACGCACAUUGCGCCCCCUGGUAUUCCGGGGGGCAUGCCUGUCCGAGCGUCAUUGCUGCCCUCAAGCCCGGCUUGGUCUUGGGUGCCGCCCCCCCGGGGGCGCGCCCGAAAGGCAGCGGCGGCACCGCGUCCGGUCCUCGAGCGUAUGGGGCUUUGUCACCCGCUUCGUAGGCCCGGCCGGCGCCAGCCGACCCCCCAAUCUUUCUUUAG